rnacentral:miRNA from 1 species
AUCUCUUUGAGCGCCUCACUC